rnacentral:rRNA from 1 species
UACGGAGGGUGCAAGCGUUAAUCGGAAUUACUGGGCGUAAAGCGCACGCAGGCGGUCUGUUAAGUCAGAUGUGAAAUCCCCGGGCUUAACCUGGGAACUGCAUUUGAAACUGGCAGGCUUGAGUCUUGUAGAGGGGGGUAGAAUUCCAGGUGUAGCGGUGAAAUGCGUAGAGAUCUGGAGGAACACCGAUGGCGAAGGCAGCCCCCUGGGCUAGCACUGACGCUCAGGCACGAAAGCGUGGGGAGCAAACAGG